rnacentral:tRNA from 2 species
GUGGGCGUCGUAUAAUGGUUAUUACAAGGCCUUGCCAAGGCUUAAAUGGCGGUUCGAUCCCGCUCGCCCGCUCCA